rnacentral:misc_RNA from 1 species
CAAAUUGUGCCCAUCGUUGGCACGCGUGCA